CCUACGGGGGGCAGCAGUCGGGAAUAUUGCGCAAUGGAGGAAACUCUGACGCAGUGACGCCGCGUAUAGGAAGAAGUUUUUCGGAAUGUAAACUAUUGUCGUUAGGGAAGAGAAAGGACAGUACCUAAGGAGGAAGCUCCGGCUAACUACGUGCCAGCAGCCGCGGUAAUACGUAGGGAGCGAGCGUUAUCCGGAAUUAUUGGGUGUAAAGGGUGUGCAGGCGGUUUUGCAAGGUGGAUGUGAAAGCCCCGGGCUUUACCUGGGAAAGCCAUACAU
rnacentral:rRNA from 1 species